GAUGAACGCUGGCGGCGUGCCUAAUACAUGCAAGUCGAGCGAACAGAUAAGGAGCUUGCUCCUUUGACGUUAGCGGCGGACGGGUGAGUAACACGUGGGUAACCUACCUAUAAGACUGGGAUAACUUCGGGAAACCGGAGCUAAUACCGGAUAACAUUUGGAACCGCAUGGUUCUAAAGUGAAAGAUGGUUUUGCUAUCACUUAUAGAUGGACCCGCGCCGUAUUGGCUAGUUGGUAAGGUAACGGCUUACCAAGGCAACGAUACGUAGCCGACCUGAGAGGGUGAUCGGCCACACUGGAACUGAGACACGGUCCAGACUCCUACGGGAGGCAGCAGUAGGGAAUCUUCCGCAAUGGGCGAAAGCCUGACGGAGCAACGCCGCGUGAGUGAUGAAGGGUUUCGGCUCGUAAAACUCUGUUAUUAGGGAAGAACAAACGUGUAAGUAACUGUGCACGUCUUGACGGUACCUAAUCAGAAAGCCACGGCUAACUACGUG
rnacentral:rRNA from 1 species